CCCCAGUGCCCAGCUGCUCUGAGCCGCAGAGCCAAUGUUGCUGCAGUCAGUCCAGAGAGCAAGAGGAGGGCGGGCGGUGAUCUCCCUGCAGCUCCCCCUUCAGCAGCUACCGGACGUGCGCGCGCGCGGGACAGUAGGGAAUCCUUUUGUAUACGUAAGAUCCAGGAAACGAAACCAGAGCCUCCAUUCAGCGCCAAGGUCGCUAAGAGGACCGUCCCUGGUGACUUCCGGGGAGGCUGUGUAACCGGACACGCAGGGGCCACCCAGGGGCCAAAGGCAGCAGAGCCACCGCCUGCGCCUGGGUUCCCUUUUCUGGUCAGCGCAGGGCGGUCACGGAGCAGCGGCAGCCACAGAACUUUUAUAAUCAUGGACAAACAAAAUGCACAAAUGAAUGCUCCUCACCCAGGAACAAAUUUCCCAGCUGGGUAUCAUCCUCAAUAUCCUCCGGCAGCAUUCCAAGGACCUCCAGGACAUACUGGCUACCCUGGCUUGCAAUCUGCCUAUCCUGGGAUGCUAGCAGGCUAUCCUGUCCCCCAGGCUGACUAUUCAGUCCCACCACCUGGCUGUUCAAGUGCUGGUCCAGUGGGCUUUCCUGUCCAACACCAGCCAGUGUAUAAUCAGCCAGUUGGACCUGCAGGGGUACCAUGGAUGCCAGCACCACCACCUCCAUCAGACUGUCCACCAGGGUUGGAAUAUUUAAGUCAGAUAGAUCAGAUACUGAUUCAUCAGCAAGUUGAGCUUCUAGAAGUCUUAAUAGGUUUUGAAACAAAUAACAAAUAUGAAAUUAAGAACAGCCUUGGACAGAGGAUUUACUUUGCCGUGGAAGAUACUGAUUGCUGUACCCGAAAUUGCUGUGGGGCUAAUAGGUCUUUUACCAUGAGGAUUCUUGAUCUUAUGGGCCGAGAGGUCAUAACUCUGGAGAGACCACUAAGAUGUACCAGCUGUUGUUGCCCCUGCUGCCUUCAGGAGAUAGAAAUUUAUGCUCCUCCUGGUGUACCAGUGGGUUAUGUUAUUCAAAAUUGGCACCCAUGCCUGCCAAAGUUAACCAUUCAAAAUGAGAGGAGAGAGGAUGUACUCAAAAUUAUUGGUCCAUGUCUUGUGUGCGGCUGUUGUGCAGAUGUUGAUUUUGAGAUUAAAUCUCUUGAUGAAGAAAAUGUGGUUGGCAAGAUUUCCAAGCAAUGGACUGGUUUUGUGAGAGAGGCAUUUACAGACGCUGAUAACUUUGGGAUCCAGUUCCCUUUAGACCUUGAUGUGAAAAUGAAAGCUGUGUUGCUUGGCGCAUGUUUCCUCAUUGACUUCAUGUUUUUUGAAAGCACUGGAGCCAAAGAACAGAGAGCAGGAGUAUGGUAGUGGAUUAAUAAAGAUCUCUGAAAAUGUGAAGUCUGAAUAUUGAUUGGGACUAUGUACAAGGAAAUUUGGAUUGAGUGAGAAGAGAUGUCCAACCUAUCAUUCAACUCAUGCAAAGGAAAAUAGUGCUUGGACAUAAGGGCUUAGGGGAGAGACUCCCUUUCAUCUUUAGCAGAACUCCACUAAUAGGCACCACUCCUAAUGAUAAACGUAAGCAACAACAACAUACAACCAACACCACUAGCUUCUAAUGUUGAGAACAUUGGGAUGUCAGGGGAGCUACAGGAAAAGCCAAGUCUAGACCAUUUGCUUCUAAAUACCAUUCUCCACUAGAACUGGGAGAAAUGGUUAUACUCAGACAUGUCAGACACAAGUGUAAGAUGAGUCUUGAACAACUUAUGGAAAGGACAAGGUGAUGCUCAAGGAAUAAUGAUGGGAUAUCAAAGGGAUGAAGAUACCAAAUUGAAAGGACUCCCGUCAACAAAAUAAGUGAAUUAGAGCAGCAAAAUAUUUAUAAUUUAUCUAUUGAAUAAAUUAGGACACCAUACAUCCCUACUGAUAGAAAUGCGUAAAUUAAAAGUUUGAUGAGUACAAACAUACAUAUAGUUUUAAGUUACAUUCCACAAUAUCCUUUUAAUUUU